rnacentral:rRNA from 1 species
GACGAACGCUGGCGGCGUGCUUAACACAUGCAAGUCGAACGGAAAGGCCCUGCUUUUGUGGGGUGCUCGAGUGGCGAACGGGUGAGUAACACGUGAGUAACCUGCCCUUGACUUUGGGAUAACUUCAGGAAACUGGGGCUAAUACCGCAUAGGAGCUCCUGCUGCAUGGUGGGGGUUGGAAAGUUUCGGCGGUUGGGGAUGGACUCGCGGCUUAUCAGCUUGUUGGUGGGGUAGUGGCUUACCAAGGCUUUGACGGGUAGCCGGCCUGAGAGGGUGACCGGCCACAUUGGGACUGAGAUACGGCCCAGAAUCCUACGGGAGGCAGCAGUGGGGAAUAUUGCACAAUGGGCGGAAGCCUGAUGCAGCAACGCCGCGUGCGGGAUGACGGCCUUCGGGUUGUAAACCGCUUUCGCCGUAAACGAAGCGUGAGUGACGGUAAUGGGUAAAGAAGCACCGGCUAACUACGUG